UGUCCCAUGGUGUAAUGGUUAGCACUUUGGACUCUGAAUCCAACAAUCCGAGUUCGAGUCUCGGUGGGACCU
rnacentral:tRNA from 1 species